rnacentral:lncRNA from 1 species
AGGGGUGGGCAAGAAUCGCUAUUUUGGUAAUCUUCGAUUCCGAUUCCAGAGGCUGUUGGAAUCGCUGGAAUCGAUUCCACCACUCUGCCAGCAGAGCUUGCCUCCCGGGCGGCGUGGGGCGCGGGACAGUGGCAGUGCGUCAUGUCAUACAGCAUUUCUCCCCUACUCUCUGCGUCCUCGAUAUCGGAAUCGUUUCAUGGCCUUCACGAUUCCGGAAUCGAUUCCACCACUCUGCCAUGGUGAACCAAGACACGAGUUUCCCCCUGAGAGCAUUAGCUAGACUGAUGCCGCAGGCAUCUGACAUCAAUCACCUGACGUCACAGGGUAUCGACCAAUCAAAUAUUGUUUUUCUCCCUUAAGGUGUCACUGCCCAGAUUCCAUUGGUUGCAUUGCCUUUUGUGUACAUCAAAUCUAGUGGAAUCGUCAGGCUAUGGAAUCGAUUCCAUCAGUUCUGUGGCGGAAUCGUUGGAAUCGAUUCCGGAAUCGUAUUUUGCCCAGGCUUAGAAUCGACUCCGGACUCCGUAGUCGUUAAGCGCCCAUCCCUAGUGUCAGCUGUGUGUGUGCGUGUGAUGCCUUGGUGUGUCGCCAUGGCGUGUCAGGGAAUGGCGGAAGGCAGCAUGCACUAACUUAAACACACUCUCCUGUCACCUGGCGAGGAGACGAGGUAACCAGUGACCAGCAGACGUAGAAAGAGGAGGCAGUGCCACAGACAGGGUACAGACCAGUGGGAGGUCACUGUGGCGACAAUGGCUGACGUGUUUUCCGUGAAGGACGCAACAAUCCUCCUCGCCAACAAAUUUGUUCAGCUUACUGGACAGCAGGGAAAUGCACAUGUGGCAUUGUACGGAAGUGCCUGGCAGCCCCAAGUGAGGCACACAGGAGAAGGUGAUGGAGGUGCUCCUUGUGUACUGUGAGAUUGAGAAGUAUUGAGGUGGUGCAGGAAGAGCUCAUGAAGGGCUUAGCUCAGAAGAACCCCAAGGUGGUGACUGGGUGUGUAUGGGCCCUCAGAGUUUGGUCCCAAGGUGAUCAACCCCAAGCCACUGAUGAAACAGAUACCCAUCACUUGAGACAGAGUUUCACAAGCUCAGCAAUGAGAAGGCAGUGAAGAAUUGCUUCAAUGGCUCACAGCAGGACCUGAAGGCCAAGAUGGAGGUCCAGGCUAAUGAUGAAGACAACGACAAUAGAGGGCAUCUGUUUUGUGUGUAGGGUUGUGUUAUUGUGCAUCUUGGAGAGGUAGUGAGAAGAGGAGUAGGGCUAAGGUAAAGGAGUAUUUGUGUGAAGGAGGUAGUAGUUGUUGAGGCAAAUUGCUUGGAUAAGUUUGAAGGGAAUGUUGAUGGUCAUAUCUUCUGGUAUACUUGAUAGUAAUUGCCGUGUUCCGAUGAAUAUAGAUUGAGUUUUGUUAGCGUUUAACAUAAGGCCACUACUUAUAAAGUAAUUUUUGGCAGUCGACAGCGUUACUUUGGCUCUGGAGGUUAGUUGGUCUAAGUAAUUAAUAUUUUCACUGUGUAUAAACUGAGUGUCGUCUGCAUACUGAAGUACUAUGCAAUCGUUUACGAUUUCAAACAAGUCAUUGACAAAUAUAGAGAAAAGAAUGGGACCAAGUAUGGAACCUUGUGGAACUCCUUGUGUUACUAGGGAUUUGGUAGAUAUGUGGUUGUGUACUUUGACUGAUUGGGUUCUGUGAUAUAGGUAAUCUUGUAUCCAGAAAGGCUCGAUACGUAAUUUAUGACAUCUCUGCAGUAAAAUUUUGUGAUUAACGGUGUCGAAAGCCUUUGAUAAGUCGCAUAAAGUUAUCAUAGUUAUUUUCUUAUUAUCUAGGUUGCUAUAUACAUGGUUAGAUAUUACUGUGAAAGCAGUUUCGGUCGAUAAUUUUGGCCUGAAAGCAUGUUGAGUGUUAGAAAGUAACAAAUUCUCUUCUAGGUGGCCUGAGAGCUGCUUUGCUACAAUUUUCUCUAGAAUCUUUGAUAUUACUGGAAGGAGAGAUAUGGGUCUGUAAUUAGAGCUGAUGUUACUGUCUCCUCCUUUAAAGACCGGGACAACAGUUGCGUGUUUCCAGAGGGAGGGAAAUUUUCCUGAAGCGAUUAAGGUGUUGAAAGUACAAGUGAGGUAUAAAGGUGUAACAAAAAGGCUGUCUUUUAUGAAGCAUAAUGAGAUACCAUCGCUACCCACAGCUUUAGUUUCCUUUAGUGUUGAUACUGUCAGAAUUACGGUCUGGACAUCAACUGGUUGAGGUCUGAAGAAAAUUGUUACCAAGUUAUCAUCAGCAACUUGUAUUACGUUACCUAUGUUAUUGUUGCUGUUAGUUUGGGUCAGUUUUGCACUUUUCAAGUUUUUUUUCCUACAUUAGCAAAGAAGUUGUUGAACUCUUCCGCUUUGUCAUUAAUGUCUUUGUCUUCAAUAACGUUGUUGUGUGAUUUAUUCUUGGGCACGAUAUUUCUGAUGUUGUUCCACAUCUGUGCUGAGUUACCUUUACUUUCAUAAAACUUAUUGUGAUAAUAUGUCUGUUUCGCCUCUUGAAGUUUGUCUUUUACGUGUUUCUUUGCUUCUUUAUAUUUAUUAUAAAACUAUAUUUUGUCGAUCUCAUUUUAGCUUUGCUUGUAGAGUAUCUCUAUAAUUCAUCUUAUCUUUCAUUUCUUUGUUAAUCCAAGGAGUUGGUGGUCUAUUCAGUUGUUGUUGGGGCGACUUGGUCAAGAAAGGAAUUAAAAACUGUGAUGAGUAUGUUCACCUGCUCAUCAACGUCAUCGGUUAGUGUGAUGUUAUUCAAGAUGUGCAAGCUUUGUAGCAGCGCAUCACAGAAGUUAUCUCUGUUGUAUGUAGCCAUGCUUCUGAAUGUUUUCUUUAUUUUGGGUCGUUUAGGUUUGCUGAUGUCAACUUUUGAGAUAAUCAUGUUGUGAUCUGCAAUAGUACUGGGAAGGCAAUCAUGGUGAACAAUACUGUCUUUUUUAUUUGUGAUUAAAACAUCAAGUAGUGUUGCACAUUGAGUAGUGGUGCGGGUUGGUUUAUUUAUUAAUUGGAAUAGUCCACAUGCAUCAGUUAUUUUUCUUAGUUUGCUGUUAUUAACUAGGAGGUUAUCGUUAAGAUCACCAUGGGUUUCUUACGCAGAUUAACGUGCUUAAAAACUUCUGAAAGGUAAUCAUAUGAUGCGGCAGGAGCUUUAGGAUGUCUGUAUACGCACCCUACUAUGAUUGAUGGUAGUUUUGUGCAUUGAAUUGUAAUAUAUAUGUUAUCGAUCCCAAGACAGGGUUCAACGUUCGGUGAUAUUACUUUAGAACUUAAGUUCUAAAGUAAUAAAGUGGAGUGUGUAUAGACACACUUCACCUCCACGACCUUUAUUAUGUCUAAAUAAAUUAUAACCUGGUACUGUAAUUAGUUUAUCAGGUGUUUGUUGAGGAAGCGAGAACAUCAAUGUCCCAAUCAUGAAACAGUAGUUUUAUUUCAUUGAAACUCGAUAGGAGAGACUGUGCAUUGAUGUGCUCUAUGGAAUGACUAGCCUUAAUUUUAUCAUAACGUUUAGCAGCAGUGUCUUCGCCAAGGACCUAUUCUCCAUAAUAGUUACAUAGCUUAUUUUUAUGACCUAAUUGAUAACAUUUUGUACACUCUAUUUUAUGGUCAAACCUACAAUUGGUUUGUGUGAGAUUUGUCUCAUCACAGUUGUAGCACGCUCCUCAUCUGUAUGGAUUUGAUUGUGGUGGGGACGGUGGGGAGCCAUGGGUGUGGUGGCGGGACUGGCCGGUAGCAUGUCCAUGGGAAGGGUGUAGAUGAAAGUUGUCUGGACGGGAGUUGGAGGGAAGGUGCUGAGGAUUAGUGCACCUCCCCUCCCCAGGUGUGGGACCAGGUGCAGUCAGGUCACCAUCUCGCCUUUCGUGCUGUCCAGGUGGGGGAAGGUGGCGGGGAGGAUUAUAGUAGUGGGCAGGUCUGUUGGUAUGACCUGAGCCGCCUCGAUGUCGCCCAACUGUCCUCCAGCCGUCAAUGUCACCAUUUUCCAGCUUGAAUACUGGGUCAGACUUUAUAAUGAAGAUUCCAUUUUCAUUACCCCAUUUAAAGAUGUGUUCAUAAAAGUCGUUAAUCUUAGUCUGCAGUGUAUCGCUCUGCAAACUUGGCACCAGUUAUGCAAGUGUCUGGAAUCCAAGAUAGUUUUUUCUCUCGCCCAACAGCUAAUUAGUUCAUAGUUUGCCUCAGUUAACCCAUUCGCCCCGGAAGUUAGAAAACACGCAUCGCGAUCCAUCCGGGAGGCCCGCGCGCUCCAAGAUUUGAAGCUUUAUUGUUGAGUAAUCAAUGUUUUAGCCAUAAACUCAAUAUAUUCAUCACUUACUAUAUAUCAGGAUGUGUAAAAAUGUUUGUAUGUUACAAUACACUUUCCAUUGCUAUGCUAAAAAGGAAAACAAUACAAAAUUUUACUUUUUAUAUUUUAUUACUUUUUUUUUUUUAUUACAGUUCGGGAGAUUUCUCCCUGAAUCUCUGGUGGUGGUGCUGUGAUGGCGGAGGUGGAGGGGAGUGCGGUGAUGUCGGAGGUGGAAGGGUGUGGCCUGGUGGUGGUGAAGACUCACCUGGCUUGGCUUCACCUCAGGAUGGUCAGCCACUUCAGCCUCCAGCCCUCUGGAGAGUAAAGGAGCAGCACAGGCAAUCCACAUGGUCAUUACUCAAGUUGUGACCACAAUGCCAACACGGACGAGAUAUUGCAGUCAGAGGAGCGGUGUGGACAGCUGGCACCCCGUGUGGACCAGUUGCUGAUCAUCGCCACCCUUCAGUAUUGCUUGGUCCUCAACACAAAAGUGACCAACCUUAGCAUCAACAAGGAGGAAUGCAUCAAGAUAUAUCAAUCACUCACCAGGUGUUUGAGGACGGUCUUCAGCAGCUGGGCACCGAGGCAACAAGGGACAUGACAAGGGAUGUAGUGCAUGUACUCAUUCAUAUAAUCUUAAACCAUCGGCUCUCCCUGCUGAAGGACGUCACUCGGAUCAUUCGUGUCAUUGAUGUGCCAGUGGUGUGCAUUGUGGAAAAAGUGCAGUCCCUACAUAUUCAGGAAGUGGUGGUGGUGGUCCCUGAGUUUUGGACUAGUGGAAGGCAGAGCAGCACACUCUGACCACCCUACCAGUCUGCCGUGCAGCUCAACAAAGCCAUCCGCUUCCAGGAGGCCCGUGGCGAGGAGUGGGUCAGCCAUUCCAUCCGAACCAUCCACACAGCAGGAAAGGCAAACACAUAGACACGACCAGUGAGUGUGUGCUCCACCGGCUGCCACAAGCCUCCUUAGCACCUGCUGUGCCUCCACCCCAGCAGGGAUGGGGUCAGCAGGAGUGACCUGUCCCCACUGCAGCCCCUCACAGCAACCCUCUUCACUGGCAGCCGGCUCCUGGAUCACAGGUCAACGCACGUCUUGCUCUGUCAGUGUGGCUGGCCUGGAGAAGAGGUCGUUUACAGUGGAUGAGAGGACAAGGCAGUUUCUUGUGGAGUUGUGAGGUGAUGGUGGUGGUGAUAGAAUACCUGAUGGAGACACAGGGCCUGCAUGCAACACCCCCUCAGGCCAACACCUUCUGCAAUGACUGUGAUGUUUGUUAGCAAGCUGGUGGAGUCACAGGGCCAAGAGCAUAGGGUAAACAGGUUAAGAGAGGAGGAGGAGGAGGAAUAUUGAGAGGAAGUGGGCAUUGUAGUGGGUUAAGUCCAGUGAUGUUUGUGAACUUGUGAAAUUUUGGGAGUAAGAGGUGGAUGGUUUGGGAAAUAUUGUAAUUUGAUGAGAGAUAUUGGAAGUAAGUCUUUUUGUGCGGUACAUGUGAAUUGUAGUGAAAAUUGAAUCCAGUUAUGCUCAUGUAUGUAUGAAAAUUUGUGAGUAAAGGCAGGUUCGCACUUGGCAAUUUGCUGUUGGAAUUGCCAACCGAUAGAAGUAUCGGGUGGACUUUGGUGCCUAGCAGCUUGAAUUACCCACCACAAAUAAAGACUGACACAUUGGUCUUGCUUGUCCAGUUACUAGCAGUUUUGUAUACAUUGUGACUUCACAAGGGAAGUUGUGGAAGAUGAUGAUGUGGAGGCAGUGGCAAAGUGGAUAAGGUGAUGACUGUGGGAUCAGGCAGAUGUCCACGCGUAGGUUUGAAUCCCAAAACUUUGCCAUUUGUUGAGUGGUUUAAAGUUACCUACUUAUCACCAUGAUACCCAAGUUCUAGGUGGUUUCACCAAAGAUGUGCUUGGGUGGUGAUAUGGACCUUAAUAUGGGUACCACUAUAAAUAAUAUUGCCUACACCACUAAUGGUUGGUAGCUUAACAGCGCUUCCAGUACUCUUUUCUCAACCUUUGUUGGUUGGCGGCGCACUAAAGACAUGUUUUUAAUUUGGCGACGCACCAUCUCUUUAAUAAUUUAAUUUCAUAAUUAAUUAACCUUUUACUCUUUC